GGGCCCGUAGCUCAGCCAGGUAGAGCGGCGGGCUCUUAAUCUAAGCCGUAGCAAGGUAGAGGAGAUACCCGUAGGUCCCGGGUUCAAAUCCCGGCGGGCCCG
rnacentral:tRNA from 1 species